UUUUCGCUCGUUUUCGCUCCGUUUUCGCUCGUUUUCGCUCGUUUGGUCACCGAUUCAUUUCAAAUCGAAUCGAGACUCUCCAAACAUGUUUUCCAGCAUAUCUACAUCAUCUUUUCAUCCGUGCUAAUGCCAGAUUUAGCUCAUGGUCCGACAUUGUAAGGAAGUGAAUUCUCGAAAUCCGAGGAUUGUACUUCGUCCAGGAUCGACUGACUGUCGAGAGAAUACCCUUUGUGGGAGUUGGGAAUGUCCAAAGCACAAAAAGUGCCUUGGAGUUGAGUCCGCGAGAGCAAAUGAGGCAAUUACAUCAUUGGGCUGAUGUUGCUCUCGGGGACCGGUCUCUAUAGGUGAGAGACCGGUUCCCCUGGCUGGGUGUAGCGGGGUUGCGUGAUGCAACCGGUCCCUGGCAGGGAGGGACCAGUUCCCGAACAUGGUCCCAGCGAGAGAUGCCAAAAAUUGGCUAAGUCCUGAAAAUCGAGCUCUCGGGGACCGGUCUCCCAGGUGAGGACCGGUCUCCCGAGGACCGGUCUCCCGGGGAGAGACCGGUUCCCGAACGCGUGCGCCCGAGGGAAGCUCUCGGGGACCGGUCCCAAGUCGGGGGACCGGUCCCUCCGCGCGAAAACUGCCCAGUGAGGGCAGUGCACAGGAGUGAAAGUUGAGGGGCUUUUAUGCAAAAUGGCUUUUAUUUGAGUGGGCUGAGCCCUCUCUCUCCCUCACACUCUCUCAUUUCACUCUCUCUUGCUCUCUUGCUCUCUCUCUCUCUAGAGAUAACAAAGAAGGAGAAGAAGAAAGAGAAGAAGAAGAAGGAGGAGGAGAAGAAGAAGGAGGCUAGGAGCAUCUUCCUCUCCCUCUCCUCUUCCCAUUGGUGUAGCUCAAAAGGUAAGCUACAACCCUAGCUUCUAGAACUUAGGGUUUUUGGGUUUUUUGCCUUGGAAUGGGUCAAAUGGACCCUAAGCAAGCUUCUAAACUUUCGUCGAGUGGGCUUGGAGCAAUCGGCGAAUUACAGUCGUUACGGCGUUACCUUGGACCAAGAAAGGCUAAAGCCUUUUCGUAGAGCUCACCAAGAAGGAUUUUCCAAGCCUCUACAUCGAUUAAAGGUGGGGGGGUGUCAUCCGAAACUUUCGAACUCCUUUCUAUGUCUUAGAUUGCAUUUAAUCUCAUCUCUUCAGGUUGCAUUGUAGGGUUGCAUAGUAGCUCCAUUCCUUAUGCUUUCUAAUUGAUAACCUAGUGUACUUGGAACGCUUGGUAAUUUAGAUAGGUGAGGAUUGGGUCGAGACAUGAUUCCUACGGUGCGAAAGAAAAGAGAUGGACCCGAUGGGGGUAUUGAUGACAUAGGAAGUAGUGAUAGUGUUUGUCACGCCCCGAGCCCGCCUCUUUGGUCGGAUUCGGGCACGCCAACAGACCGCCGAACGGACAGGGUUUCCUCUGCACGCGGACAGAGUCUCCCCUGUACGUUCAAGGCGUCGUAAUCAAUACAAGUACAAGGGGUUCCAAACAGGAACAAUUUUCAACAACGAUUGCAUAAGGAAGGUAUCAAACAACAUAACACAUCCUAUGUUAUUACAAUCAUUCAUCACAUCAUUUUACAUCGCAUUUUUUUCAUUACAUUGAUCCUCAACUUUCAAAUAUACAAUCGAUUUCUAAACAUAUUAUUACAACAUCGAUUCUUUUCUUUUCUUUUCUUAUACCCCUAAGAAGCCGACUCAGGGUGCUGCUAUCUGGUCUCUGUGGUAGGGCGCUAACUACGGAGCUACGCCCUUUCCUCGCGCCGCCGCGCCGCUCGCGUAUGAACCUGUACCCCCAAAAACAACAACACGGGGGUGAGACUAUUGUCCAUAGUCGUCAGUGGGUACAGCCACCCAAGUGAAAAGCUCAACCCACCAGGUCCAAAGGAGGCACUGCAACAUGUUAGUCCAACAGAUAUAUAUAUAUAACAUCAUGCAAUACAUGUUCAUGCCUCACAAAUAUGCAAAUUAUGCAACUCUUAGUCAUUCUUUACCAUUAGCCUUUCUUUAGAAUAUGCAAUUCUUUAUCAUUAGCCAUUCUUUAUUCUUUAAUCUUUAUUCUUUAUUCUUUAUUCUUUAUGCUUUAUUCUUUAUGCUUUAUUCUUUGUUCUUUAUCCUUUACUAAGGGCACUCGCGCCUUAGGCUCAUCAUACACAUUUGCCAUUCUUUAUAACAUUAACAAGUCUUUCUCAAUUAUCACUCUUUCCUAAGGUUAUAUUUACCUUAGCCAACUUUGCCACUCGACUCGGUCUUGAGUCAAUUCAUAAUGAAUACAAGAUCNNNN
rnacentral:lncRNA from 1 species